rnacentral:snRNA from 1 species
GUGCUCACUUCACAGCACAUACUCAAAUUGGAACAAUACAGAGAAGCUGAGUGUAGCCCCUCUGCAAGAAUAAGAUGCAAAUUUGCAAAAUGUAAAACAUAAAU